rnacentral:tRNA from 1 species
GACUCAUUAGCUCAGUUGGUAGAGCAUCUGACUUUUAAUCAGAGGGUCGCAGGUUCGAGCCCUGCAUGGGUCA